AGAGUUUGAUCAUGGCUCAGAAUCAACGCUGGCGGCGUGCCUAACACAUGCAAGUCGAACGCGAAAGUGGAGCAAUCCAUUAGUAGAGUGGCAAACGGGUGAGUAACACGUGGGCGACCUACCUCAGAGUGGGGGAUAACCUUCCGAAAGGAGGGCUAAUACCGCAUGACAUCCCGUGUUUGGAUACACGGAGAUCAAAGCCGGGGAUCGCAAGACCUGGCGCUUGGAGAGGGGCCCGCGUCCGAUUAGCUAGUUGGUGAGGUAACGGCUCACCAAGGCUCCGAUCGGUAUCCGGCCUGAGAGGGCGGACGGACACACUGGAACUGAGACACGGUCCAGACUCCUACGGGAGGCAGCAGUGGGGAAUUGUUCGCAAUGGGCGAAAGCCUGACGACGCAACGCCGCGUGGAGGAUGAAGAAUUUCGGUUCGUAAACUCCUUUCGACCGAGAUGAACAUCCCGCAAUUUAAUACGUUGUGGGACUGACAGUAUCGAGAGAAGAAGCCCCGGCUAACUCUGUGCCAGCAGCCGCGGUAAUACAGGGGGGGCAAGCGUUGUUCGGAAUUACUGGGCGUAAAGGGUUCGUAGGUGGCCAACUAAGUCAGAUGUGAAAUCCCUCAGCUUAACUGGGGAACUGCUUCUGAUACUGGUUGGCUUGAGUGCAGGAGAGGAAUGCGGAAUUCCAGGUGUAGCGGUGAAAUGCGUAGAUAUCUGGAGGAACACCGGUGGCGAAGGCGGCAUUCUGGACUGUAACUGACACUGAGGAACGAAAGCCAGGGGAGCAAACGGGAUUAGAUACCCCGGUAGUCCUGGCCCUAAACGAUGAAUGCUUGGUGUGGCGGGUAUCGAUCCCUGCCGUGCCGAAGUUAACGCAUUAAGCAU
rnacentral:rRNA from 1 species